UGCGAAGGCAGAUCUCUGGGCCGCUACUGACGCUGAGGAGCGAAAGCAUGGGGAGCGAACAGGAUUAGAUACCCUGGUAGUCCAUGCCGUAAACGUUGGGAACUAGAUGUAGGGCCUGUUCCACGGGUUCUGUGUCGUAGCUAACGCAUUAAGUUCCCCGCCUGGGGAGUACGGCCGCAAGGCUAAAACUCAAAGGAAUUGACGGGGGCCCGCACAAGCGGCGGAGCAUGCGGAUUAAUUCGAUGCAACGCGAAGAACCUUACCAAGGCUUGACAUAUAGAAGAACACUGCAGAGAUGCAGGACUCUUUGGACACUUCUAUACAGGUGGUGCAUGGUUGUCGUCAGCUCGUGUCGUGAGAUGUUCGGUUAAGUCCGGCAACGAGCGCAACCCUCGUCCUAUGUUGCCAGCGGUUCGGCCGGGAACUCAUGGGAUACUGCCGUGGUCAACACGGAGGAAGGUGGGGAUGACGUCAAAUCAUCAUGCCCCUUAUGUCUUGGGCUUCACGCAUGCUACAAUGGCCGGUACAAAGAGCUGCGAUACCGCGAGGUGGAGCGAAUCUCAAAAAGCCGGUCUCAGUUCGGAUUGGGGUCUGCAACUCGACCCCAUGAAGUCGGAGUCGCUAGUAAUCGCAGAUCAGCAACGCUGCGGUGAAUACGUUCCCGGGCCUUGUACACACCGCCCGUCAAGUCAUGAAAGUCGGUAACACCCGAAGCCGAUGGCCUAACCGCAAGGAGGGAGUCGUCGAAGGUGGGACUGGUGAUUAGGACUAAGUCGUAACAAGGUAACCGUAA
rnacentral:rRNA from 1 species